rnacentral:rRNA from 1 species
CAUGCAAGUCGAACGAGAAAGUAUCUUCGGGGUACAAGUAAAGUGGCGAACGGGUGAGUAACACGUGGGUAAUCUGCCCUGAAGUUGGGGACAACUCGCUGAAAAGCGAGCUAAUACCGAAUGAGAUAGUCUUUACAUAUGUGAGGAUUAUGAAAGGUUUCGGCCGCUUCAGGAUGAGCCUGCGGUCUAUUAGCUAGUUGGUGAGGUAAAUGCUCACCAAGGCUACGAUAGAUAGCCGGCCUGAGAGGGUGUACGGUCACAUUGGAACUGAGACACGGUCCAGACUCCUACGGGAGGCAGCAGCUAAGAAUAUUCCGCAAUGGGCGAAAGCCUGACGGAGCGACGCCGUGUGGUUGAUGAAGGCCUUACAGGUUGUAAAAACCUUUUAUUCGAGAAGAUGGGCAAGCCUCGAGCUUGCUUGACGGUAUCGAACGAAUAAGCCCCGGCAAAUUACGUGCCAGCAGCCGCGGUAAUACGUAAGGGGCUAGCGUUGUAUCGGAAUUAUUGGGCGUACAGGGCGUGCAGGCAGGACUAAUAAGUCGGGUGUGAAAUCUUAAUGGCUUAACCAUGAGC